rnacentral:lncRNA from 1 species
AUGGUGAUGUUGAGUUUUAUGACCGCAUCGCCAGUAGUAAAUUCAUCGUUUCUAUCAACGGCCGUUCCGACAACGGUUUCAGCGCCACGGAGACUCGCCGUGUCAUUAGGGAUCGAUCAGCAAAUAAAUGAGACGGGGAUCUGGGGAACGCUCUCAGCGGAGUUUUUAAGCUACGCAAUCGCUCUGUUCGUCUACGCGGUGAGAUACCCGGCCGUUUUCUGGAACACCAACAAGUGGUUCAGCGUCCUCUUCUCGUUUCAGUUGUUCGUCAACGGAUUUCAAUCAAUUCUCCUCUACACCGGUGUUUCCAUCCUCUAUAAGAUCCACGUUUUGGGUCCCUCGGAGAUGGUGUCCACUGGUGCGGCACAUCGCGGGGCGAGCAGGGCUGGGCUCGCGGCUCAAGAGCCCUUUCAUUCUGAACACGCACGUUACUCUCGCAUUGUUUGCCAUGUCGACCAUCCUCCUUCUGUUUUCAAGUCAUGUCCUCUACCUCUACGGCUACGGCAGGUUCAACGCGUUCCUGAACCGGGAGAAGGCGCGGCAGGUGAUCAGCAUCCGGGAGAGCGACUCGAGCCGCGGGUGGGGCUACUUCACGCACUGCGCCGCGCUGAGCGUCCUCCUGGCGGUCGUCGUCUGCGAGGCCCCGCUCAUCUACGACUUCUCGCUCGUCUACCGGGGGAGCCUCGACAUCGCCGUCCUCGUCAGCGUCCUCGGCGCCAUCCUCCACGUCUUCCUCUGGGUCCUCCUCUGGCUCAUCCUCACCAUCAAACAGGAAUGGGUAUUCAAAGUGCGAGUGACGAUAGGGCGAGCGGCGGUUCGGUCGGCCAAGUCGAUCAAGCUGGUGACGGAUGUGGAUCUGAUAGCCUCGACCGCGGAGGGCAUGGACGCCCCGCUCUGGUCGUCGGCGGUGGCACCACCUACACCGUCACAGAUACCUCCCCCAAAAAAGCAAUCAUGAGUCUAGUCAAGAGUGCCAACUCGGAAUCCAACGACAAGAGUCCAGGCAAACCAACUACUUUAACAGAUGAUGGCGAGGAACAAAUCUACUGGUUAAGGCCGAAAUCCAGAACGCCAAAAGGAUCUCCAGAUUCUGAAUCGUCGGAUCGGAUGGGUUGGCUGACAAAUAAAUCCUGCAGAGUUGCUGUUGACUUCAACCAAAAAUCUGAUGGAGAGGUGGGCAAGAAGAAAAACCGCCAGUCAGGUAACUUUGAUGAUGAUGGAGACUACGCUCGUUUAAGAGAACUUCCGCCAUUCAAUGGAGUUCCUGCUCCGACAGAGCAGAGUGAAGACACAGGUUCCGAAGACAAUAAGCUGCUGGACAGAGUGAGGGACGAAAGUGUAACGUACGCGUCUAAUAAGCAUCCCCAGCCGCACCCAAAGGACUACGAGGAUCCAAGCCCCCUCCUCACUCCAGAACCGCAAGACGAUUACCUACCUCCCCCUCCCCCCAUAUCACCAGAACCAAACUCACAACAAAACACGAGUAAUGAUUCACAGGGAUUACCACGGUGUUUGCAGCGAGCAGAUUCAGGUAUGGCACAAGAAGAGCUGACGCCCCGCUCGGACUCGAUCAGUACAGUAGGGUCAGGAGGCUCGCCACCCGACUGCAAUGGCUCCAAUAGCGAAAGCUCCAGCGGUGUCCACUCCAACUCCAGCCACAGCAGUGGUAUUGGGUGCCAGGGGGACAAGAACGGCAUCGGCAGCUCAAGCGAAGCGGUGCACCGAUGGAAGGCUAAUUCUUUGCAGAACAAGCUCCAGGCCAUGAACAACAACAUGAUGAACAUGGUCAACAGCCGGCACUCACUCAACGAGCCCCUCUACAGCUCUGGAGUCUACCGGCCGCAACAGAUCUAUGCAGCCACCAACAAGGGCGCCCCUGUCAUCAAUGAGGUUGCUGAAGAAAACACAGUAGUAAUCAGGCGGAAGCCGAUGAUCAGGCCAAAAACAGCCGAGAUCUACCAGCAGACGGGGCCACGCGAUGCCUUCGGACGAUCGACAAAUAUCCGUCUCACAUCGUUCAUGGACUUGCCAGACUCGAAAAAAUCAAUCUCCACCAUGCCACACUUCCCAACACAGCCGAUGGGCGUCUCAUAUCCAGUUUGUUCGACUAUGCCCCUGCCUGCGCCCAACCACCUGCACGCCACAGCUCACCUCGACGGAGGUGUCAGCUACAGCUCGUUCCCCCGACCGAGGCAGCAUACCACCAUCCCAGUCCACCACAACGGCGUUCGCCUCUUCAAUCCCAACUCCCCUUGCAAGAGGAUCCUGCCUCAGUCUCAGUAUCAAGUUAAGGCUCCCCUUAGGGAGAAUGGUCACAGCUGCCCUAUGUCUAACUACUCACACAACCAUCACACCUUCCCGCAGUUACCGAUAAAUGUUGAGUCUGCUACAAUUCAGCACGACUCCAAUCAUUUUAACUCCCUCGUCAAAAUCGAGAGCACAGCAAGGUCGUAA